rnacentral:rRNA from 1 species
AACGAACGCUGGCGGCAUGCCUAACACAUGCAAGUCGAACGAGACCUUCGGGUCUAGUGGCGCACGGGUGCGUAACGCGUGGGAACCUGCCCUUAGGUUCGGAAUAACUCCCCGAAAGGGGUGCUAAUACCGGAUAAUGUCUUCGGACCAAAGAUUUAUCGCCUUUGGAUGGGCCCGCGUUGGAUUAGCUAGUUGGUAGGGUAAAAGCCUACCAAGGCGACGAUCCAUAGCUGGUCUGAGAGGAUGAUCAGCCACACUGGGACUGAGACACGGCCCAGACGAGUGCGGGAGGGAGUAGGAGGGAAUAUGGACGAGUGGACAAAAGCUUGAACGAGCAAGGGGGUGUGGGUUAGGAAGGCUUGAGGGUUGUGAGGCUCUGUACCGGGGGAAAAGAAAGAAAUUAGGGGGAGAAUCAGCUGCUGCUAACUCCGUGACCGGAGCCGCGAAAAUAGAAGGAAGAGCAACCGUUUGAAC